GUGAGUAGUUCAGAGUUUGAUCCUGGCUCAGGAUAAACGCUGGCGGCGCACAUAAGACAUGCAAGUCGAACGGGGACGGAGGCUUCGGCCAAAGUUCUAGCGGCGGACGGGUGAGUAACGCGUGAGCAACCUUUCCUCUACUGGGGAAUAACACCGGGAAACUGGUACUAAUACCGCAUGAGACCACAGUGCUGCAUGGCACAGGGGUCAAAGAUUUAUCGGUAGAGGGUGGGCUCGCGUCCGAUUAGGUAGUUGGUGAGGUAACGGCCCACCAAGCCGACGAUCGGUAGCCGACCUGAGAGGGUGAUCGGCCACAUUGGGACUGAGACACGGCCCAA
rnacentral:rRNA from 1 species